UGCUGUGGGGGGAGCAGAAGCAGCAACAGAGCGGAGCAGCAGAGAAACAAAGUCGAAAAAAAACGAGUGAAAACAGGAGUAAAAACAGCUUUGGACCGUCGCUUCGGUUUGGUAGCGAUUUCAGAAACUUCACUGCCGAGUAAGUUUGGACGGUACGCCAAGCUGUGGAGCUUAUUGCCGAACACCAGUGAGGGUGGACCCUGAACACUACCUGUAAAGCUAAGGUUUACUGGUUCAGCUGCUGCAGCCUGGACAGAAACACCAGCUCUCACCUGACAAACCAAACAGGUUUCAUCAUUUCAUCCACAAUCACAGAGAGUCUUCGUACAGUGAAGAAGUUCUUUGAGACCAGGACCGAGUCCUCCAGGAUUCAAACUUUAACCAUUAAACCACAGAGAGAAGAGACAGACGUGAAGACAUUUCCAGAAGGUCUUCAGCUGCUGUCGUCUUCUCCUCCUGCAGAAACAAGAACACUUACCAGUCACAGAAACUGAUCAGUAAAUCUAAAUAUUCUUAUGACAUACUUAUUCUGACAUUUUUUUGAUGUUUUUAUACCAUACUAUAUUAUGACUUUUUUUGACACCUUAAUACACCAACAUUUUUUGAUGUCUCACUGUACUAUGACAUUUUUACACAUUUUACACAUCUUAAAAUAACCAUCUUUUCAUUUUGGUAUUUUGCUAUUAUUUUGUUAUAACAGUACAGCAUUAGUACUCAGAUCAAAUCUAUUACGGUACAUUUUCCUGUUUAUACUGUUCGUAUUGUUUAUAAUUGUUUUGGAUCUCGCCUUUUUUCUAUUUUUGCUGUUGCGACACUGAAUUUCCCCACUGUGGGACUGAUAAAAUCUUACUCAAAUAAAUGUUUCUGAACACUGAA